rnacentral:tRNA from 1 species
AGAGAUAAAGCUAAAUUUGAGCAGUUCAUUUACAUUGAAAAGGUUCUCGUGCAAAUCGGGAUAUCUUUA